rnacentral:rRNA from 1 species
CCUACGGGCGGCAGCAGUGGGGAAUAUUGCACAAUGGGGGAAACCCUGAUGCAGCGACGCCGCGUGAGUGAAGAAGUAUUUCGGUAUGUAAAGCUCUAUCAGCAGGGAAGAAAAUGACGGUACCUGAGGAAGAAGCCCCGGCUAACUACGUGCCAGCAGCCGCGGUAAUACGGAGGGGGCAAGCGUUAUCCGGAUUUACUGGGUGUAAAGGGAGCGUAGACGGCAGCACAAGUCUGGAGUGAAAUGCCGGGGCUUAACCCCGGAACUGCUUUUGAAACUGUGCAGCUAGAGUGCAGGAGAGGUCAGUGUCAUUCCUCGUGUAGCGGUUCAAUGCGUAGUUAUUAGGAGGAACACCCGUGGCGAAGGCGGCUUACUGGACUGUACCUGCCGUUGAGGCUCGAAAGCGUGGGGAGCAAACAGGAUUAGAUACCCGUGUAGUC